ACAACCUGAAACAUCUAACAUGCAGCUGGCACGGGAGGCCGAGAUCUUGAACCUGUGCCCUGGCCCUGACGACAGAGUUAAAUCCAGAGCAACCAGGCUAACCCUUAAUACCCUGAAACAACGUGAACCAGCUCUGAAUCUUCCGAGGCAGCAGGCCCAAGCUCCUCUGAGCCGCGUGGACAAGAGUGAGGCUGGAGGAGAAAACAAGCUACGCACGGUGCCAAAGGCCUGGAGACUGACCGACUCUGAGACGAGGGCGAACAACUGCCACUGACUCGAGAGCCGGCCAGAAGCAGCUCCAAGAGGCUAACCCACAGGAACAUCGCCCGGCCACUGGGCCAGGGCAAGGCAGGGACGCGGCCACACAGGAGUCGCAAAGCUGUCCGGCCCUGCAGUCUGGGGACCGCUCCACCACCUGCUCCCAGGGGCCAGUCCAGCCAGCGCAGUCCGGCUCCCCAACCCAGCACUUGGCUCGCAGCCCCAGACCGGCCCCUCCCCAAGCAGGCCAGCCCAGGAAGGUUAUCACUGGCUGGAACACGUGCACGACGCCCAGAGUUCUGCAGCCUUGUUGAAACCAUGAGGCGAUGGACAAGUAUCACGUGACAAGCUCACACUCUAGCAACGGCCGAGGGCUGGAUGUUGCUCCUCCAGAUUCCCGGUCCACUCACCUCCACUCUGCUCAGGGCCCUAAGAUGCCAGCUGAGUGGCCCGCAUCAGGCCUUCCUUAGUCUCUGGCUUCCAGCUGGGUUCAUUUAAAGAGGAAGGUGGGAGGCACCGACGGGAGAGAGGAGGGAGGGAGGAAAAGAGGUUAAUUUCCUGCUCCUCCCUGACCGCGUUCCUCUUCUGAGAGCCCAGCUCCUCCCAGCAGCCCAGCAGCAGCUGCAGCCACAAACCUCUCCACAUUCUGCGUGCGGCCCUGCUGCCCCUGCCUCGCGCCGCCAGGCCGGGGGUGGGGGCUGCUGCCGGGAUGCUCCUCCAGCCAGCAGCGGUCUCCCCGAGCCUUUCCCACCCCAGAGAACCGCCCACGCCUUUCCCAAAUCCUCCUCCCCCACCCACUGGAGAGUAUUAUCUCUUUUCUUCCUUUCUUUUCUCUUUUUGUGCCGGGACCCUGAGAGCAGCUCAGAAAGAAAGAGCUGGGUGCCCCCAUCAUGCUGAGCAGUUGGACCCAUCCUGGGCCACCUGCCUGCGGACCUCGUGUCGUGGCGCGAACGCGCAAACCGUCGUGAUUUCUCUUACCCAGUGUGGUUUGCGCACACCCGCCACGGACCACGUUCACAGCUCGUCCAGCAGCAGAUGACUAAGAGGGGGUUCUGCCCUCCAGGGGACAGCCUGUCAGGGAGUGAUCCAUUUCUACGAAAUAAGGCUGUUUCUGUAACAGUCCUAUUGGAGAGCUGGACCACAGGGGCUGCGAAGGACGCCGGCGAGGGGACGGUCACAGCAGAGAAGCCGCAUCUGAGUGUCAGCACAGAGGGCACGGCAGGUCGACCCUGCUGAGGGGCAGGUGCCUCCCCAUCGCUCUUCCAUAAAACGUCCUGUCCCUGUAAAGCCUCCGCCCGCCCGUGGUGUUGAGGGAAUUCCUGCAGGGCGUGUGUGCCCUGGGGUGGCAGCAGGACGGCGCUGGCUGCAGUCAGAGGCAAUGUCUAGGGUGGCAAGCCCCAGCCCAGGGAAGUCCUCGAACAGGUGUAUCUUCCUUGGGGAUGGAAAUAGGUGUGUGUGUGGGGGGGCUCUGAGAGAAGGCUGCGCCUGGUCAGUGGGGACCUGCUGUGCAGCACAGGGAACUCUACUCCAUGUUCUGUAAUAAUCUACGCGGGAAAAAAGAACAGAUAAAUGCGUAACAGAUUCACUUUGCUGUACACCUGAAGCUGACCCAACAUUGUAUGUCGGCUGCCCUCAGGGAGUUCCUGUGUGGCUCAGGGGGUUACGAACCUGCCUAGUAUCCAUGAGGAUGUGGGUUCGAUCCCUGGUCUUGCUCAGUGGGUUAAGGAUCUGGCGUUGCCGUGAGCUGUGGUGUAGGUCACAGACGCGGCUCAGACCCCUCAUUGCUGUGGCUGUGGCGUAGACUGGCAGCUGUAGCUCUGAUUCGACCCCUAGCCUGGGAACCUCCAUAUGCC
rnacentral:lncRNA from 1 species